rnacentral:misc_RNA from 1 species
CAGAGUUUUCUAAACUCCCAAACCCAUGUGAACUUACCAUUGUUGCCUCGGCGGAGCCUACCCUGUAGCCACCCUAUAAGGUGGCUACCCUGUAGCGCCCCGCCGGUGGAUUUUCAAACUCUUGUUAUUUAUAGUAAUCUGAGAGUCUUAUUUUAAAUAAGUCA